UCCUACGGGAGGCAGCAGUGGGGAAUUUUGCACAAUGGGGGAAACCCUGAUGCAGCAACGCCGCGUGGAGGAUGAAGUCCUUUGGGAUGUAAACUCCUUUCGACCGGGACGAUAAUGACGGUACCGGGAGAAGAAGCACCGGCUAACUCUGUGCCAGCAGCCGCGGUAAUA
rnacentral:rRNA from 1 species